rnacentral:antisense_RNA from 1 species
AGUUCUCCAGGCGCAGUGAGCGCAGGCGUGGGCAGCAGCGCAGCAGGCGCGCCAGGCAGUCGUCGGUAACGUGGCCGCAGCCCGACAGCGUGACGGACGCCAGGUUGGGGCACCUGUGAGGAGAGUGCGGUGAUCCGGGGCUCACUGGCUUGUUAAAGCCACCCAACCGCCCCGGGGGAGUGAGUGGACUCAUUUACCGAGGAGGACUCGGGCCCUGCGAGGUGAAGACACUUGGCCGCGAUGACACUGCAGGGUUCCAAGUCGGCUUUCUGGCCUGCCCAUUUUCCCUGCUCUUUCUGCCCCUGCACCCCACCGUACCUUCAUCUGCAUGGGUUCUUGGCUCGUAGCCUUGGGAGCCCCUAGUGGAAAGCCCCGACCCCGGCCCAGCAGAGUCCUGGGGCGGCUGUGGACAGAGGGAAUGCCGGUUCCAGGAGCCACAACCCUUGACUCUUUGUUUCGCUCUGGACGUGCUGCCUUGCAGGGGAGCGGUGCGUGGCGAUUGCUCCAGUCUAGCUUCAAGCUGAGGCCCCUGAAUGUCACUUCAUCCUGGCCCAGGUACAGCAGCUCCAAAUCGUGGGGAUUCUGUAAGAGCUUGCUACCUGCUGACUGAGGAGGCCCACGAGUCGAGGAGAACUAUCAAGAGUGGCACAAAACUGCAGGUCACUGGGCUGGCCACCAGGUAUUCCCACCCACCAGAAGCUGGCUGUUGUACUCACCCGGAACCAUGGUGCACCACCACAGCGGCGAGGUCAUACAGGCAGCUCUCCGGGCCACUGUUCUCAGGCUACAGAACAAGGAAGAAGGCACAGUGGUCAAUGACAUCGGUAUCUUGAUGACCUCUACCCUCUCCAUGUGAUGACAAUCUUACCGAAGAGCCAUUUUUUCACCAUGCUAAAAAGGUAACCACCUUACCUCUAGUAAGUAGCAUUUCAUGUCUAGGCCUCUCAGUGGAAAUUCUACAUAUGUAUCAACUUUAUUUCUUAAAUAUGCUGUCCAGUGAAAUCUUUUCAAAUGUAAGCAUAGCACCUGGAGGACAGAGAUGAGGUCAAAGAUUGUGAACACCUAACUUACCUUUCAGUCAAAGUUUGAUACUACUAUCAGUUCAGUAAAUAACAUUUUAGCUGCCCUAUCAAUCAUUCUUCCUCGCAUACCUUAUGCAUUCAUUCUGUAAAGGGUUCAGCUUUUACUGAAAACCCUAGAGACAAAUACAGAACAGUUCACAUAGUGUAAAGUUAUAGACAUGGUCUUAGCAGUCAAGCAUUUUCCCCUUGAAACUGCUUCGUAACUCAAAAUUCAACACUCACCUUGGGUAGUUUUUGAAUCCAAAACUUUUUUGUGGACUUUUGUUUCUUUUUGCAUUUAUGGCACAUAUAUAACUCUGUCUCAUCAAGUUCUUCUAAGUCGGUAAAACUGCGAAGACAAUCUAAACAAAUAGAUUUUGGCAGCAUUAAAACAAGAUGCCUUUUAUAGAGGCAAUGUACUGUAGAAAAAAGACCCAGGUUUAAAAUCUCAGCUUUAUUAGCUAUACGACCUUAGAAAAGUUAACCUUUCUCAGUUGCGAACUGGAGACAAAAAAUAAUACCUACUUUGAAGAACUAUUGUAAGGAAGAGAAAUAACAUGUGUAGAGCACCUGGCAUCAUGCCUGACAUCUGGUGAUGAUCAAUUGUGUUGGUUUUACUAUUAAUGAAAAUUCAUCUGGAUAAUUCUGAUAAAAUGGUUUCCUGAUAAAUUUAAAGUUUCAAUUGUAGUUUUCUGUCAGUAUGUUAUACAGGACAAAGCUCCAAACUUAU